rnacentral:rRNA from 1 species
UACAGAGGUCCCAAGCGUUGUUCGGAUUCACUGGGCGUAAAGGGUGCGUAGGUGGUCAGGUAAGUCGGAUGUGAAAUCUCCGAGCUCAACUCGGAAACUGCAUUGGAAACUACCUGGCUCGAGGGUUGGAGGGGGGACUGGAAUGCUUGGUGUAGCAGUGAAAUGCGUAGAUAUUGGGAAGAACACCUGAGGCGAAGGCGGGUUGCUGGGCCGACACUGACGCUGAGGCGCGAAAGCCAGGGGAGCGAACGGG